rnacentral:rRNA from 1 species
UACGGAGGGUGCGAGCGUUAAUCGGAAUUACUGGGCGUAAAGCGUGCGUAGACGGCUAUCUAAGUCGGGUGUGAAAGCCCCGGGCUCAACCUGGGAAUUGCAUUCGAGACUGAAUAGCUAGGGUACGGUAGAGGGAAGCGGAAUUUCCGGUGUAGCGGUGAAGUGCGUAGAUAUCGGAAGGAACAUCAGUGGCGAAAGCGGCUUCCUGGACCAGUACCGACGUCAGGCACGAAAGCGUGGGGAGC